GAUGAACGCUGGCGGCGUGCUUAACACAUGCAAGUCGAACGGAAAGGCUCCUGCUUGCAGGGGUACUCGAGUGGCGAACGGGUGAGUAACACGUGGGUGAUCUGCCCUGCACUUCGGGAUAAGCCUGGGAAACUGGGUCCAAUACCGGAUAGGACGAUGGUUUGGAUGCCAUUGUGGAAAGUUUUUCGGUGUGGGAUGAGCUCGCGGCCUAUCAGCUUGUUGGUGGGGUAAUGGCCUACCAAGGCGUCGACGGGUAGCCGGCCUGAGAGGGUGUACGGCCACAUUGGGACUGAGAUACGGCCCAGACUCCUACGGGAGGCAGCAGUGGGGAAUAUUGCACAAUGGGCGCAAGCCUGAUGCAGUGACGCCGCGUGGGGGAUGACGGCCUUCGGGUUGUAAACUCCUUUCGCUAGGGACGAAGCGCAAGUGACGGUACCUGGAGAAGAAGCACCGGCUAACUACGUG
rnacentral:rRNA from 1 species